GCUGAGAUGGCGGAAAGGAUACGCAGUGGGCUGCAGAUCCAUUCAUCCCGGUUCGAGUCCGGGUCUUAGCU
rnacentral:tRNA from 2 species